AUGGAUUACCACUUACGGCGCGCUGUAGUUCGUUCUUUGGACCUUCCGUUGCACCGGAGGUCUCCUAGACUAGAGGCAAGAUGGUUCAUAGAUCACUAUGCUAGAGAUGAGAGCAAUUCCGACCCAUUGCUCGUUAGAUUUGCAACGACGGACUUCAACAAUGUGCAAAGUUUGCAUCAGGAAGAACUCGCAAGACUGGCAAGGUGGUGGAAGGGGACCGCCCUUAGUGAAAAAUUAGGGUUCGCCAGGGAUCGUCUCAUGGAGUGCUUCCAUUACGCAAAUGGAAUUGUGUGGGAGCCAAACAAUGGAGCAUGUCGAGAAGUGCUUGCUAAAGUCGCCAAUCUAAUAGUUCACUUAGAUGAUGUUUAUGAUGUAUAUGGAACUCUAGAUGAACUUGUUCUCUUCACCGACGCCAUUGGAAGGUGGGAAGAAAGUCCUAGUGAAAGACUCCCCGAAUACAUGCAAGCACUAUAUUCCAUGAUGUACAACACAUCGGCUGAGGUGGCUGAAAAUGUGUUGGAACAACAUGGUUGUGAUGCUCGUCAUGUUCUUCGGAAAGCAUGGCGAGAUAUGGCGGAGUCUUUCUUGGUGGAGGCAAAGUGGCACCAUGGAAACCACAGACCAACAUUGCGUGAGUAUCUGGACAACGGAUCAAUUUCAUCCUCUGCUCCACUGCUGCUGCAACAUGCGUUUCCCCUGCUCCACAUGGAAGAAAAGCUUACCCCAAUGUCUCUUGCUAAAGUUGGAAGCUACCCUAAAUUAGUUGAGUCUGGGUCAUUAGUUCUUCGGCUCUGCAACCCACUCUGCUGA
rnacentral:rRNA from 1 species